GACGAACGCUGGCGGCGUGCCUAAUACAUGCAAGUCGAACGGAAUUUCUUUAACCGCUGGCUGUUACAGCGAGCGAAUGUCGGUGGCGAACGGGAGAGUAACAAGUCGGUAAUUUCCCCAUGAGUGGGGGAGAACAACUGGCAAUAGGAGCUCAUACCGCCUAAUUCCAUUUACCGCGUGGCAUCUGGCCGAACGGGGCUGUUGGAUCCGUUGUCGGAGGACCCGCGGUGCAUUGGAUAGUUGGGGGGGUGACGGGCUACCUAGGCUGCGAUGCAUAGCCGGCCUGGGGGGGUGGACGGCCACACUUGGACUGAGACACGGCCCAGAAUUCCACGGGGAGGAGCAGGAGGGAAUCAUCGGCAAAGGGGGGAAGGCUGACCGCACAACGCCGCGGGAGGGAAGGAGGGCUUCGGGUCGUAAAACUCUGUUGUUAGGGAAGAACAAGCAUGAGGGUGAAAAGUCCAUCCCUUGACGGUACCUAACCAGAAAGCCACGGCUAACUACGUG
rnacentral:rRNA from 1 species